rnacentral:rRNA from 1 species
GAUGAACGCUAGCGGGAGGCUUAACACAUGCAAGUCGAGGGGUAUGGAAGCAAUUCCAGAGACCGGCGGACGGGUGCGUAACGCGUAUGCAACCUGCCUUAUACAGGGGGAUAGCCCGUGGAAACGCGGAUUAACACCCCAUAGUACAUUUUAGCUGCAUGGUUGAAAUGGGAAAACUGAGGUGGUAUAAGAUGGGCAUGCGUCUGAUUAGCUAGUUGGUAGGGUAACGGCCUACCAAGGCGACGAUCAGUAGGGGUUCUGAGAGGAUAAUCCCCCACACUGGUACUGAGACACGGACCAGACUCCUACGGGAGGCAGCAGUGAGGAAUAUUGGUCAAUGGGCGAGAGCCUGAACCAGCCAUUCCGCGUGAAGGAAGAAGGCCUUAUGGGUUGUAAACUUCUUUUCUGUAAGAAGAAUAGUUCCGACGUGUCGGGAUUUGACGGUAUUAUAGGAAUAAGCAUCGGCUAACUCCGUGCCAGCAGCCGCCGUAACAC